GGUGGUAUUGAAAUAUGCCAUGUAAUCUCUCAAUGAUUCUCUUUCCCAUUGCUUGAUCGAAAAGACGCUUGUGGAAGUGCGCAGCAACUUUUUGCUGGUGUGGAAAUACACUACGAACUGCUAGCUGAGUUGAUCAAAAGAGCUGAUGCUCCUUGGACUAAGUCUCGAGUACCAAGCUCGGACUGCCUUCCAAAGGAUUAUCGGGAAGGCCACACAGAGGAGGGUGUCGGUCGCAUCUUGGAUCAUCAUGAGAGCC
rnacentral:lncRNA from 1 species